rnacentral:rRNA from 1 species
GAUGAACGCUGGCGGCGUGCCUAAUACAUGCAAGUCGAGCGAACAGACGAGGAGCUUGCUCCUCUGACGUUAGCGGCGGACGGGUGAGUAACACGUGGAUAACCUACCUAUAAGACUGGGAUAACUUCGGGAAACCGGAGCUAAUACCGGAUAACAUGUUGAACCGCAUGGUUCAACAGUGAAAGACGGUCUUGCUGUCACUUAUAGAUUGAUCCGCGCCGCAUUAGCUAGUUGGUAAGGUAACGGCUUACCAAGGCAACGAUGCGUGGCCGACCUGAGAGGGUGAUCGGCCACACUGGAACUGAGACACGGUCCAGACUCCUACGGGAGGCAGCAGUAGGGAAUCUUCCGCAAUGGGCGAAAGCCUGACGGAGCAACGCCGCGUGAGUGAAGAAGGUCUUCGGAUCGUAAAACUCUGUUAUUAGGGAAGAACAAAUGUGUAAGUAACUAUGCACGUCUUGACGGUACCUAAUCAGAAAGCCACGGCUAACUACGUG